UGGAGCUGCUCGAGACCACUUAACAACAACAACAACAACAACAGUAUGAGCAGCUCGGUGACAUCCGAAGAAUGACGCCGAAGUCGUGACUUGACCCGUUCUUUGUUUGGACCCUUCCUCAUCAAUCCUCCUCACCUACUACAGACUGGCUGUGGCCGCUCCGCGAGCACUAACGCGCUUUGAAACCUCGGUACAACAGGGAGCAAAGGGCGCGCGGCCGCUACUCCUCUGGUCCUCUGUGGCAGGAAUGAUGCUCGCGCUCACCUUCACCUGCCGCGCGCUGCUUGUCUUCUUGCUCUCGGAGUCGGUUCAGACCGACAGAACAGCGGUGACCGAGACAGCCUCUAUAAGCCCCAUCUUUCCCAAGCUGACACGAGACAGAUGGCUGAAUCCUUUCCUGAUCACAGAGAACAUGUGGCCUCGCGGUUGUGUCCUGGACUGCCAGAGGGGGCGCCACAGAGCCGUGUGUGGUAGCAACGGCAGGUUGUAUAAGUCGCUGUGUGCCUUCCAGAGGGCUCAGUGCAUCAACACACAGCUCCGCCUCGCUGCACCAGCACACUGCUCAGAUCCGAGUCAGUCCAAAUGCCAGCUGGCCCGGGCUCAGGCCCUGGAGGCCGGCGCCCACAUCAGCCAUGUUGGCCCAGCAGCUGCCGUCUUUGUGCCAGAGUGCAGUAUGGAUGGUCACUUCCUGCCAGUGCAGUGCCACAACCAGACCGGAUACUGCUGGUGCUCCAUGCCCGACGGCAAACCUGUCAGCGGUACCUCGGUCCACCUUCUGAUCCCCAACUGUACCGAUCACAUCGGCAAGUUGGCUCAGACCAGUGAUGCCGAUUCAGCUCCGAUCAAAGAUGAAGAUGGUGAACCUGGACCAACAAUAGACCCCAGAAAACCUACAGAGCUGACAGCUCCUCCAUUCUGGGUGACCAUCCUGAUGAACUCUGACCCCAAAGGGAACCGCUCAGUCAGACGACCCACCGACAGUCCUCAGACGUGUGAGCGUGAGCGAGCCUCGCUGCUCUCUCAGAUGAGGUCAUCCUGGCUUGAAGAGCGUUUCAUCCCAGAAUGCACUGCAGACGGCCGCUACAGCCCCGUGCAGUGUCACGCUACUACAGGUUACUGUUGGUGUGUCAGAGUGGACAGCGGCAGGCCACUACCAGGCACCUCUGCAAGGAAUCGCAUCCCAGAGUGCACUGGGGCAGAGGUGGCACCAACAGACAGGAGGCACAGGGAAAAACCUCUGCCGGGGUGUCCCGGAGCUCGUAAGAAGCAGUUCCUACAGAGUCUGGUCAGAGCGCUGCAGCUGGAAGCAGAGCAUGCUGGAAGUCUGAGUCCCCACCAGGCCUCAAACACACCUCCCCCCAGCCCUCCAUCUUUCAUGACUCCAACCUCCGCCUCCUCUUCCUCCCCCCCUUCCUCCCCCCCUCUGGAUGUUUCCUCUCCUUCUACUCUGGAGGCUGUCGAGUCCUCCAGGCCAGAGGUGGUGCUGCGGUGGCACUUCAGUCGGCUGGAUGUGGACUCCAGUGGAGUGCUGAGCGAACGUGAAGCUCGACCUCUUCGUCAGUUCCUGCGCCAGAGGCUGAAGCCGCGACGGUGCGCCAAGAAGUUUGCUCAGUACUGUGACAGAGACGGAGACCGAGGCCUGACACUGGACGAACUGAGGGCCUGCCUGGGCCUCUGAGGUGGGUCAGCCAGUUCAUCUUAUAUGAAGUCACACAUCCUCCUGCAAAGGGUUCUGGAUCUAGUGGUGAAUGUUGCUGAUGUAGUCAGAAUUGACUAUUAUCAACACUGGCCCGAGGACUUUACUUUUUUACGAGAGCAAAAGGAUAAAUCACCUGAUGUCGAAGGACAACUUCCUCUCUACCGCGUCACUGUCACCUUCAAGGUUCUGCUUCGACGUCUGUAAAAUCAUGGACAUUUCAUCGCUCCAUCCUUUUCAACCAGCACUGAUUAAAAGACUAAACAUAAAUAAUAUAUUUUGUCCUCACUGUCACUAAGGCCAGCCUCCCAUCUCUUCAGGAUACAUCAUUAUUCUGUUGUAUUCCCACAUUACCUCAUCACGGGCAUAAAACACAACGGGAACGUUUUAAAGAAUAACUAUAAAUGACUUCUUCUUCUGGCAGUAUAAAGUCAACAUACUGUAUCUAUAAUGUAAUCCUUUUGCAAAAAUCAACUAGCAUCUCCUUCUUCUUACUGACAUAUGUCCCUCUUUCCUUUCCUUUCCUCCUUUCCUUUCCUUUAUUUGUCCCUCCUUCCCUUUGGUCCCUGCUCCCUUUCUUUUCCUCUUCCCCGCUUUUCCCCAAAUAUAUUCCAUUGCAUCUUUAUUUACACCUUUUCAUACACCAAAUGUAUCCCGAAGUGUUUUACACAUAAAAAUAGGAAAAUUAAGAUAAUAGAAUAAAACACAAUUGAUAAAUAUCAGAUAAUAUAAAUAAGAUGAAAUAUAAUUCCUUCGCAGCAUUCACCAAAAGGUCUUCUUUUUCUUUUCUACAUAAGUGGUGGAGAGUUACAUUUCUAAGACGAUGGUAUUCCAGCUCGAGUACACUCUGUACAGAUCAGCGCUCAGAUCUCGGGUCCCUUCCACCUUCCCUUUACUCUUCUCUCCUUGGUCCUUUCCUUCUUCCUUUGAUUCCUACCUCCUAGGUUUCCUGAAUCUCCUUCACGUUUUACUUUUCUGCUUUUUUAAAUCUCUUUCUCUCACUCUUGUUGACUUUCCCUUUCCAAACAUCCUCACCUCCUUCCUUCUUCCCCAACUUCCCUUUCUGCUUUGUACAUACUUUGCUUCCACAUAUUUUAUAUCAAUAUAUUUAUGCAGUAUAUUUUGAUUAUGGUUUAUUCAUAAUGUUUUAUACAGGAUAAUAUUUUAGACCACAUAUCCGUCAGCAGGACUCUAAGACACAAAAUUGCUGAUUAUAAAUGUGACUUCAAUAAAUAAUGUUGUCAUCUCGUUUUCAGUAAUCUCAGCAGUGACACUGUGAACAUUGUUUGCCAGUAAUCUUCAGAUGAUGUGGCUUUGUUUGGUGGUUGCCACAGCAACAGCUGCCCUCAUUUCCGCCUCACA